rnacentral:pre_miRNA from 1 species
UUGGUUUUGCCCAAGUCAAUUUUUUCUAAGUUUAACUAGGGUUGUAGAAAAAUAUGGCAACAUCUACAAUAUCAAAUAAAUACGUCAACAAUACAUAUUUUAUGGUGGAUUUAAUAAAAUUGAUUUGAUGUUGUAGACGUUGAUGUAUUUUUCUAUAAAUUUAAUCAAAGUUAGAGAAAUUUGAUCUAGGGAAAAUCGAA